AAGCCAUGGUUGGGACAUCUUCUCAACAUCGAUUUGUAUCGCUCCCAUGCUUCACAAAUUUUUUCACAUGAACCUUGAGAAAAUAUGACAAUUUUGGUUUUGACUUC